UUAAAUUGAAGAGUUUGAUCAUGGCUCAGAUUGAACGCUGGCGGCAGGCCUAACACAUGCAAGUCGAACGGUAACAGGAAGCAGCUUGCUGUUUCGCUGACGAGUGGCGGACGGGUGAGUAAUGUCUGGGAAACUGCCUG
rnacentral:rRNA from 2 species